rnacentral:rRNA from 1 species
GACGUAGGAGGCGAGCGUUGUCCGGAUGUACUGGGCGUAAAGCAGCGCGCAGGCGGUCGUUUAAGUCGAAUGUGAAAGCCCCGGCUCAACUGGGGAGGGUCAUUCGAUACUGAUCGACUUGAAGGCAGGAGAGAGAAGUGGAAUUCCCGGUGUAGUGGUGAAAUGCGUAGAUAUCGGGAGGAACACCAGUGGCGAAGGCGGCUUCUGGCCUGUUCUUGACGCUGAGGCGCGAAAGCUAGGGUAGCAAACGGG